CCCUUAGAUGUCCGGGGCCGCACGCGCGCUACACUGAAGGAAUCAGCGUGGCUUUCUCCCUGACCCGAAAGGGUUGGGAAACCCGUUGAAUCUCCUUCGUGAUAGGGAUUGGGGCUUGAAAUUGUUCCCCAUGAACGAGGAAUUCCCAGUAAGCGCGAGUCAUAAGCUCGCGUUGAUUACGUCCCUGCCCUUUGUACACACCGCCCGUCGCUACUACCGAUUGAACGGUUUAGUGAGGGCCUCGGAUUGGUCUCGGCCCGCUCUUUACCGGGCGGCGCCGUUGGUCGAGAAGACGCUCGAACUUGGUCGUUUAGAGGAAGUAAAAGUCGUAACA
rnacentral:rRNA from 1 species